CCUUGUUGAUAGGGUUUGUAUGAUUUCUCACGAGAUGAUGCAAACUCUCUUACAAAGCACAACUACCUUACAGUAGGCAACAAUCAGGUUUUUGUAAAGAACUGAGAUAAAUUACCAGGCUCUGGUUAAAGCAGAAAGGGGCAGUUUGGAAGCUGUCAGGGAAAUAGUGCGGAGUGCUUUGCGUGGCAUUGAGCGAAGAGUCCAGGUGUGUCUCUGCCUGAAGGCUCAAUGUCUGAUUGCUAGCCUUAAAUGUUCAGAGGAGAGGGGUUUAGAGUGUAUCCAUCAAAGGACAACAGAAUACUGGAUAUUUUGAAGUCUCAAGGUUCCUAUGCUUAACGUUAAAGUGGGACAUUGGGUGGUGAGCCCCCAUAAGCACAGAUCUCCUUGCAUAUGAGGUCCUAAAACACCCAACUGCUGGCUGGCAUAGUCACUGUGGCUCGUUCACCUUCUGAUUGGUUGGAUUCCAAUUAAAUGGUGGUGCCUAUCUUCACCUCUGAAUCAAGCACUGAGAGACUUUGGAGAUGGGCUUUUGAAAGAGGUUUGGAGGGAAUGGGACGCUGGCUGUACUCACCUGCCGGGGAUGGUGGGACUUGGUCUGAGAGGCGGACGCCGUUGCCUGCGGACAGCUGCCAAAGCAAGAACGUGAGCACAGAGCAGAGUGAAGUCAGAGCUCUCAGGGCAAAGCUAAGCCAUUUUCACAUGAACUUUGUUGCUUCUGCAAUAAGGCUAUACUUACUCCCAUUCAGCACGCCAACGGAGGAGUACACUGUCAGCUGCUGCUGAAACAGGAGGUGGUGUUAAUUUUGAAAAUGAUCCAUGCCGUAAUGUCACGAACCAGGAAGCUGGAAUCCUUCCCCAGGUCUUUAUGCAAAUAGUUGGCAGCAGCUCGAGCUGAAGGACUUGGAAGGAAUGGGUUUUUAAAAAAUCUGCUUCACGGCAGAGCUCUCAUUAACCCCAUUCCUCCCAGGGAAUGGUCUGUUUGUCUGCCUAUCCACAUUCUCUGCCUCAGAAUUCUCUCUCCUUGGCUUGAAGCUUCCCAGAGGCGUCCCUUGACCAUUGAACAAACUGGAGAUCAUAACUGCUAAACCAAAGGGUCUAUACCAAGAAGCAGGCAUACGCUGUCCCCUGACACCUGCCAUCCUUGCCUGCUGAGUAUAUGCCUUCGCAGCUUUCCUAGAAUUGCAGAUCCUUCUGAUGGUUUCUGGGAAAGCUGUGGAAAUACACCCGGACCCAAAGGCCCUGGCUCGCGUGACCCUACCCCGGGAGAAGCAGCCCAGUUACCCGACAUCGUGGUCAGCAGAAGCUGGGGCGCUGGCUGGAUGCUGCAGCUGCAGGGACUCGGUGCCUCCCAGGGCUCCUGUACAGACAGAGAAGCAGAGAUGCAACAUUUUAAAGUUUCACAAAGCAUCCAGCUGCACCCAGGUUCCUGGAGCAGGAGACAAACAGAAUUAAUGUUUUAUACCUUCGGGUAUAGGUUUGAGUUUUUUCCCCCUCAUGCCAAGUAUUUAAAACCUCUAGAAACCCAUGAUUUGACAAUCAAUGAUUGCGCGAUACUUUCAAUUUGAAUAUUCAAAGGCUUAACAAAAUGGACUAUCUUCUGCAGAAAUCCUGCACACAGGCACCCCACAGACAGUCCAAAGAAACAGGGAGCCAGACCCCUUUGGGCCCUGGGCCUUGCUUUUAUUGUAUUUUAAACAUUUUGCCCACCUUUCCACAGACAGAGCCGGAGUCCUCAAAGAUGCUCUGUAUUUCUGCCUCAAAGGCAGCCCCAGGAGCCUGGAGUGACUCAGGCUGUCCUUCCUGACCUCCUGAGCCAGACUGGCCCACCAGACUCAGUCCUAUAUCCCUAGUCUCCAUUUUAGGGGAAAAUCUCAGGUUUCGGGGAGUGAACAUGGCAGCCAGUAGAUAUGGAGUGGCAAGGAGUCAUUCCUGCCUCAGGUUGCAGGUUGCAGGUCGCAGGCCCAGCCAAGGCCUCCGCUCUGUGCCACAUGUCCUUCUGGCACCACUUGGCCACAGGCCGGCUUCCUUGCCUUUGGCCCGCUCUCAGUCUGGGCCCCAGACACCGCAGUUUCAAGACAGAAGGCCUGCGCAUUAUGACCCUCUGCUCCCCCACCAGGAGCUGGGGAGGUCUGUGGGACCUCACCCUGGAGACUUUCUGAGGCUGGUGUUUCUUCCACUGUGAAGUUCUCUUGCCUCCCCUCUUUCUCUGGCUGGAGCCAUCCCUGCCCUUUCUGCUGCAGGAGUAUGUAUUGAGUAAUAAUGAUAAGCUUGGAUCCUGCUCCUUUUAGCUGAAAGGACAUUUGUGUGCAGGCCUUCACACUGUGGGUGAGAGGUGGGAGAUUCUUGAAGUCAGGCUGCCAGGCAGGUGCAAGCGUGAGCCCCUCCCCAGGGAUGGAACUGUGCCGGGUGAUGUUCUCCAAGCGCUUGCUGUACCUCUUCCAUGUGAUUUGGAAGGUUGAGAAAACAGGAGUGGUCCCGAGAGGGAGUGAGUGCCAGGCCAGAUGCUCAUCUAGCCCCUGGGGGAAGAGGGCGGCACCGGAAGAUGGAGAAGCAGGAUGGAGUUCCCUUUGCAAAUGAGCCAGGACAUUCCCAUGAUGCCAGGCCAGGCGAUGGUUACAGGCCUCUGCUCCCUGAGUUCUCUGAAAUGCAAAGAAUGGAGCUGAGCCCCACAGGCCACCAGAAAAAUAAUCUGAAUUCCCUUGAAUGUGUCCAGUGCAGGGCGGAACAUACACAGGUGGGGAGCAGGGGUCCUGGGGGUGACAAGGCUCUGGAAUCUGUGAUGGGGAGGAGCUGGGAGCACUUGACAUGGCACCUGGCUCUGGAGGGCAGGACGGGCUGUGUCUGCCUCUACCCCACUAAAUCUGUCAGCUCCUGGAGUCUUCCCACAGAGGCCUCUGAGCCUGUGUCCUGGGUUUUCCCAGUGGGCGUCAGGCCUGAGGACCAGACUUGUGAGGAGAGGAGGAUGCAGGGGGUUCAGAGAGCCCCUGUCUCCUCUCUCCCUGCCCUGCCCCAUCUGGACACCGCUCCUUCUGAUGGGAUAGUGGACAAAACAGCUCAGGGAGGCUCUCUUGCCCUCGAGAGACAUGACUUCUUUUCUCUUUUGUCUUCCUCCUUUUCGUUUUCCACUUCUCUUUUGCUGUUUAAAAUCUUUGUCUUUAGACUUUCUAUUUAUUUUUUUCCCCAAGUUUCUUUUUUCUUCAUUGUCUUCUUCUUCUUCUUUCUAAAUGUGUCACUUUCCCUCUGUUCUGGGGACUUUCUCAUUUUUUCAGGCUUAUUUUCCUUGCUAACCUCUCCUCUUCCAUGGAGAUGGGCAGUGGUUUGUGGAGGCUACCGAGUUCCCUUGACAACAUCACUGAAGCUCAUGCCACUGAUUGGCUACAUGGUACUUGCUGAAAGCAGGCGGAGAUUGGAGAUUGGGGGCCCAUGAGAGAUGGGGUCCUUGGGAAUCACAGGGUCUGUAGAGACAGCGAAGAACCCUGUCCCUUUCUUGAGCAGCCUCUGCCUGAACCAUAGCCGCGGUUCUGAGGGCUUCUGUGUUGGCGCCUGCUCUUGAGAUGGAUGUUCCAUUGCUGUUGCUGGCAAGCAAUUUCAGAAAACUGAGUUUCCUCAUGCCUGAGCCCUGUUUUGAGAAAUAACGUCUCCCAGUUUUUACCCCAAUAUGAAGGAGCUUUGUUUCCUAUAAUUUGUUUCUGUAAUUGCAAAACCCCAGCACAGAUAUUUAACAUUCAGACAUCAUGCUUGUGAGUGCAGAGGAGGGUCCUUUCUAAUGAGUCCCGUGAAUCUUUCCUACAGAUCUGCAUGUGUCAUGAGGCCUGAAGCAACCAGAUCUACCCCAAAGACCCUAUGGAGUUGGAUGGUCCUCACAGGAGACUUUUUUUCUAAAAGUUGUCAUUUAUCGAGUAUUUAUUGGAUAUCAGGCACCGUAUUGUAUGGCCUCCCAUUUUACAGCUGAGGCUCAGAGGGGUAAGCAACAUGCCCAAGGUUAUUAAGCACAUAAAUGGCAGGAUUGGGUCUCAAGCUUUGGUAAAUCUGGUGCUAAAGCUCUUUCUCUUCAUUAUCAUUGUUGUCUUCUUGAUCUUUUACAUCAGAGGCUUUCAAACUUUCUUGACUUCAAUCCACAAUGAUUUCAUUUUACAUGUUCACAUACUAUACAGUAAUAUUUACAUGUUUAUUAAACUUCUCAUGAAACAUGGGCAGCCCCAGUGGCCCUGUGGUUUAGUGACGCCUUCAGCUAGGAGCGUGAUCCUGGAGACCCGGGAUCGAGUCCCAUGUCAGGCUCCCUGCAUAGAGCCUGCUUCUCCCUCUGCCUGUCUCAAUCUCUCUCUCUCUCUCUCUCUCUCUCUGUGUCAGUCAUGAAUAAAUAAAUAAAAAAUAUUAAAAAAAUAAACUUCUCAUGAAACAGUGUACACCACUGUAUAUGAAGCA